AGUGGAUGACCGAAUCAAUCCUGGACACAUAAUGGAUGACCGAGUCAAUCCAGGACACAGUGGAUAGCAGAGUCAGCCCGGGACACACAGAGGAUGGCGGGGCCAUUCCAGGACACCCAGUGGAUGACCAACUCAGCCUAGGACACACAGUGCAUGACGGAGUCAAUCCAGGACACACAGUGGAUGACCGAGCCAGCCUAGGACACACAGUGGAUGACAGAGUUAAUCCAGGACACACAGUAGAUGACCAAAUCAAUCCAGGACACACAGUGGAUGACAGAGUCAAUCCAGGACACACAGUGGAUGACCAAGCCAGCCCAGGACACACAGUGGAUGACAGAGUUAAUCCAGGACACACAGUGGAUGACCAAGUCAAUCCAGGACACACAGUGGAUGACAGAGUUAAUCCAGGACACACAGUGGAUGACCAAGUCAAUACAGGACACACAGUGUCUGACCAACUCAGCCCAGGACACACAGUGCAUGUCAGAGCCAAUCCAGGACACACAGUGUAUGACCAAGUCAGUCCAGGACACACGGUGGAUGACCAAGUCAAUCCAGGACACACAAUGGAUGACCAAGUCAGUCCAGAGGAAAUCACUGAUGAUGAGAGGACUGAACUAUCCUUGGCCAAAAGAAAGUAGCCUAUAAACAAAUCACUCCAAGGAAAACAGUUGAUGAAGAGACCAGACUACAAGCAGCGAAUGACUCUCUGAAUCUGGAGAACAGGUGAUUAUCCAGUCAAUUCAAGGCAAGCAGUGCACUAGGUCCAGGGAAAACAGUCGAAGACCGAGCUAGCGCAGGGUAAAGAGUCGAUGACUGAGUCAUUCCAGGAGAAAGACGUAGUUCUGCGCCAUAACAGGAAAACUAGCUGAUGGCCGAGUCAGCCCAGAGAAAAAAAAACAGAUGACCAAGUUAGUCCAGGAGAAACAAUGACUGAGACAUUCUGGGAAAGAGUUAACAACCCAGGCAUUCAGGGCAAAGAACUGGUGAUGGACAGUCCUGUCCAUCUCUUUAACCCAGGGAAACCAGCUCAUGAGCAAAUCACUCCAAGGAAAAGAGCUGAUAGAGAUGGCAGAUAGUGGGGGAUCCCUUAAACCUAUACAAAAUCUGGAACACUCAAGUCACUCCACAAACAACAAACACGAAGAUCAGUGAAAAGAAUCCAUGACAGAGUCAGCAUAAGGAAAAGAGUAGGUGGGGCGCCUGGGUGGCACAACGGUUAAGCAUCUGCCUUCGGCUCAGGGCGUAAUCCCGGCAUCAUGGGAUCAAGCCCCACAUCAGGCUCCUCUGCUGGGAGCCUGCUUCUUCCUCUCCCACCCCCCUGCUUGUGUUCCCUCUCUCACUGGCUGUCUCUAUCUCUGUCAGAUAAAUAAAUAAAAUCUUAAAAAAAAAAAAUAAAAUAAAAAAGGAAAAGAGUAGAUGACCCAGCCAUAGCAGGGAAAAUAGCCAAUGAUUGAGUCAUUCUAGGGAAAACAGUCGAUGACCGAGUCGUUCUAGGG
rnacentral:lncRNA from 1 species